UCAAACUUGGUCAUUUAGAGGAAGUAAAAGUCGUAACAAGGUCUCCGUUGGUGAACCAGCGGAGGGAUCAUUACCGAGUUUACAACUCCCAAACCCAAUGUGAACGUUACCAAACUGUUGCCUCGGCGGGAUUUCUGCCCCGGGCACGUCGCAGCCCCGGACCAAGGCGCCUGCCGGAGGACCAAUUUACAAACUCUUUGUAUGUCCCUCUGCGGAUUUUUAUUAUACAUUCUGAGCUUUCUCGGCGCUCCUAGCGAGCGUUUCGAAAAUGAAUCAAAACUUUCAACAACGGAUCUCUUGGUUCUGGCAUCGAUGAAGAACGCAGC
rnacentral:misc_RNA from 1 species